rnacentral:rRNA from 1 species
UGAGGAAUAUUGGUCAAUGGCCGGAAGGCUGAACCAGCCAAGUCGCGUGAGGGACUAAGGCCCUACGGGUCGUAAACCUCUUUUGUCGGGGAGCAAUGGGUGACUUGCGAGUCAUCAGGGAGAGUACCCGAAGAAAAGCAUCGGCUAACUCCGUGCC